rnacentral:lncRNA from 1 species
UGCAGAAAUGUUAUCUUAAAUGGUAGACCAUGGGAAAUUCAGGUUUGGGUGAAACUUUAACCUUCUGCUGUUACUGCAAGGUCUACUGACGUCCGUGGAAAUUCCAGAUGCAGAAUGAAUACUGAACAUAGCCUGUUGUCAUUUUGGAGAGUAACAAAAUAUAACAUGGGCAUUUGUGAAGUGUUUCUAGAUGCAACGGUUGCAAAAC